rnacentral:tRNA from 1 species
AAGGGUACAGCUCAGUGGUAGAGUGCGUGCUUAGCAUGCACAAGGUCCUGGGUUCAAUCCCCAGUAUCCUUA